rnacentral:rRNA from 1 species
CACACGUGCUACAAUGGACAAUACAAAGGGCAGCGAAACCGCGAGGUCAAGCAAAUCCCAUAAAGUUGUUCUCAGUUCGGAUUGUAGUCUGCAACUCGACUACAUGAAGCUGGAAUCGCUAGUAAUCGUAGAUCAGCAUGCUACGGUGAAUACGUUCCCGGGUCUUGUACACACCGCCCGUCACACCACGAGAGUUUGUAACACCCGAAGCCGGUGGAGUAACCUUUUAGGAGCUAGCCGUCGAAGGUGGGACAAAUGAUUGGGGUGAAGUCGUAACAAGGUAGCCGUAUCGGAAGGUGCGGCUGGAUCACCUCCUUUCUAAGGA